UAGGUAGUUGUUGUAGCAAGCAGACAACAGGCUUUGGUGGACUGUUGGUAGUUGGUAGCCAACAGACAUCAGGAAGUGGUGGACUGGUGGUAGUUGAAGUAGCCAUCAAACGGCAGGCAGUGGUCGACUGAUGGGGCUUGCAGUAGCCAGUCGGCAGUGGUGGAGUGGUGAGAGUUGUAGACGCCAGCGGACAUCAGGCAGUGGUGGACUGGUGGGAGUUGUAGAAGCCAGUGGACAGCAGACAAUGAUGGACUGAAAGGAGACAGGAUAGAUGGAAUAAACAGAUUAGACAGAUGAUCAAUAGGAUAAUUUAGAUUCCUGUAAACAUGAGGAGUUUUAUCAAUACCAGUGCAUUGUUACCCAGCCUGUACUGGGACCAGACUACCUGCAUGAAGUGACAUUGUAAUAUGUCUAUGAUGAAUGUCCCCUACAUAAAGCUUUCUCCUAGUGAUAAAUGACCAUACACUGGAUCCACAAUUAACAAGCAGUGCAUCUUCAAUGAACAAGGGAGAAAAGCAGCUCUGGAGGUGGUUAAAGGAGCAUCAAUUAGGAAUAGGAUAGUCAAGUGUCAACCCUUUAUCUAGAAGAUCUAUCCUGCUGAUGCAAUAAAG